rnacentral:rRNA from 1 species
AACAAACGCUGGCGGCAGGCCUAACACAUGCAAGUCGAACGGUAGCACAGAGGAGCUUGCUCCUCGGGUGACGAGUGGCGGACGGGUGAGUAAUGUCUGGGGAUCUGCCCGAUAGAGGGGGAUAACCACUGGAAACGGUGGCUAAUACCGCAUAACGUCGCAAGACCAAAGAGGGGGACCUUCGGGCCUCUCACUAUCGGAUGAACCCAGAUGGGAUUAGCUAGUAGGCGGGGUAACGGCCCACCUAGGCGACGAUCCCUAGCUGGUCUGAGAGGAUGACCAGCCACACUGGAACUGAGACACGGUCCAGACUCCUACGGGAGGCAGCAGUGGGGAAUAUUGCACAAUGGGCGCAAGCCUGAUGCAGCCAUGCCGCGUGUAUGAAGAAGGCCUUCGGGUUGUAAAGUACUUUCAGCGGGGAGGAAGGCGAUGUGGUUAAUAACCGCAUUGAUUGACGUUACCCGCAGAAGAAGCACCGGCUAACUCCGUGCCAGCAGCCGCGGUAAAAC